GGAUCAUCCACCCCAUUCAUACACUGUUCUCAACAACGUGCAAAGAGACGACUUUAUUAAGAAGAAAAUCAUGACCACAACUCAUGGUUACAAAGGAAAAUAUUACUGCCCUCCUGAGGCAGACAGGGAGAGUUAAAUGGCACCUGGGGCCUAAUGACUACAUGCUGAAGCUAUAAAAGACUGCAGAAGGAGCAUGAGCCUCUGGAAGAAAGACUUGGAAGUGGUUUCUGAUGUAGUUUACACAGCUGGACAACAGGAAAGGAGGUGUGACUGUGCUGCUAAAUAGGCGGUAGGCUCUCUUUUUCUCCUGGAGUCUCAGCUAAAGUUCCCUGUUCAUCCACCUUGGUCUUCUUCCCUGCUCACUCAUCUUAAAGCACUCAGGGACAGCCUGCUCUCAUGUGCCUUAAGACUUCCUUCUUGAGGAACAUCCAGCCUUCCCGGAGAGGCCUUCACUGCAGCUGUUCCUGGGCUAAGGGUGCAACAGCUUCAGCACAAGGAAAGAAGACACAAACAUGCAGCCACACCAGAAGUACUUGCUUUUUUCCUCCCCUGCUGAAAGAUGAUUUGGUGGCCACAUACUGCAGCUCUGCUCAGGUCUAGCUUAUAUGGCAGCCUGUUAGUUCUGGAGUUGGGUUGCAACUUGUCAGCAAAAUGCAGCAUUGGAUAACUAGCAUGUCUCUGAGGAACGCAGCAAGCUGCACAGAGGUCUUCUUGACUUGGAAAAGUAACCACAUGCCUGUAUGCUUUGAACCACGUUGGUGUUCUUUGAAGCAUGAAAGGUAGUCAUGGUCCAGGCUUCUGUGAGCAGCUAAGCAAACUGGGCUGGAAACUCAGGAGAGCUCUGAGGAUCCCAAUAGAGCUUACCAGGAGUACGAUCCACACAGCCUGAAGGUGGGGAGGACCGAAAGCAACUAAUGACACUUUAGCAGUGGGCUGUACCCCACUUAGUUCAUAAUGGAGGUGUGAUCUGGCUGCAGCAGGCCUGCCUUAUUUCAAGGUAAGAAUGAGUUCACUGCUGGUCUGUGCAUGCUUUUAAAGCAGGAUGUACAAAUCAGGUGAGCGUAAUGAGCAGUUCCAUGGGCAGAGCAUGCUUUUCCACUGUGGGAUCACACACCCAGGUUGCGAAAAGCCUUUCUCAAAACAACAGACAUGGGUUUCUCUGUGCUGUUUACCACUCUGAAUUACCUGAGCUGCAAAAAGGCCUUCCACCUUCCACCUGAAAACAGGACGGAAAAUCGCAGCGGUUAUCCAGGUUUAACCCCGCCGCUUAAAUUCACUUCAGACAAUGACUGUUUCUGUUAGCCUUCCAAGUCCCAAUUAAAUCAUCGUUUGCACAC
rnacentral:lncRNA from 7 species